UACAGAGGUCCCAAGCGUUGUUCGGAUUCAUUGGGCGUAAAGGGUGCGUAGGUGGCGCCGUAAGUCAGGUGUGAAAUCUCGGGGCUUAACUCCGAAACUGCAUUUGAUACUGCGGUGCUUGAGGACUGGAGGGGAGACUGGAAUUUACGGUGUAGCAGUGAAAUGCGUAGAGAUCGUAAGGAAGACCAGUGGCGAAGGCGGGUCUCUGGACAGUUCCUGACACUGAGGCACGAAGGCCAGGGGAGCAAACGGG
rnacentral:rRNA from 1 species